rnacentral:rRNA from 1 species
GACGAACGCUGGCGGCGUGCUUAACACAUGCAAGUCGAACGGUGACGGAGAGCUUGCUCUCCUGAUCAGCGGCGAACGGGUGAGUAACACGUGGGCAACCUGCCCCAGACUUCGGGAUAACGCUUCGAAAGAGGUGCUAAUACCGAAUACGAACGCCGUGGGUAUCCACGGUGUUGGAAAGUUUUUCGGUCUGGGAUGGGCCCGCGGCCUAUCAGCUUGUUGGUGAGGUAAUGGCUCACCAAGGCGACGACGGGUAGCCGGCCUGAGAGGGCGACCGGCCACACUGGGACUGAGACACGGCCCAGACUCCUACGGGAGGCAGCAGUGGGGAAUAUUGCGCAAUGGGCGAAAGCCUGACGCAGCAACGCCGCGUGGGGGAUGAAGGCCUUCGGGUUGUAAACCUCCUUCAGCAGGGAAGAAGCGAAAGUGACGGUACCUGCAGAAGAAGCACCGGCUAACUACGUGCCAGCCGCCGCCGUAA